rnacentral:rRNA from 1 species
CCUACGGGUGGCAGCAGUGAGGAAUAUUGGUCAAUGGACGAGAGUCUGAACCAGCCAAGUAGCGUGAAGGAUGACUGCCCUAUGGGUUGUAAACUUCUUUUAUAUGGGAAUAAAAUGUUCCACGUGUGGGAUUUUGUAUGUACCAUAUGAAUAAGGAUCGGCUAACUCCGUGCCAGCAGCCGCGGUAAUACGGAGGAUCCGAGCGUUAUCCGGAUUUAUUGGGUUUAAGGGGGGCGUAGGUGGAUUGUUAAGUCAGUUGUGAAAGGUGGCGGCUCAACCGUAAAAUUGCAGUUGAAACUGGGAGUCUAGAGUACAGUAGAGGUGAGCGGAAUUCGUGGUGUAGCAGUGAAAUGCUUAGAUAUCACGAAGAACUCCGAUGGCGAAGGCAGCUCACUGGACUGCAACUGACACUGAGGCACGAAAGUGUGGGUAGCAAACAGGAUUAGAUACCCUAGUAGUC